rnacentral:rRNA from 1 species
GAUGAACGCUAGCUACAGGCUUAACACAUGCAAGUCGAGGGGCAGCAUUUCAGUUUGCUUGCAAACUGGAGAUGGCGACCGGCGCACGGGUGAGUAACACGUAUCCAACCUGCCGAUAACUCGGGGAUAGCCUUUCGAAAGAAAGAUUAAUACCCGAUGGUAUAAUCAGACCGCAUGGUCUUGUUAUUAAAGAAUUUCGGUUAUCGAUGGGGAUGCGUUCCAUUAGGCAGUUGGUGAGGUAACGGCUCACCAAACCUUCGAUGGAUAGGGGUUCUGAGAGGAAGGUCCCCCACAUUGGAACUGAGACACGGUCCAAACUCCUACGGGAGGCAGCAGUGAGGAAUAUUGGUCAAUGGGCGCAGGCCUGAACCAGCCAAGUAGCGUGAAGGAUGACUGCCCUAUGGGUUGUAAACUUCUUUUAUAUGGGAAUAAAGUUUUCCACGUGUGGAAUUUUGUAUGUACCAUAUGAAUAAGGAUCGGCUAACUCCGUGCCAGCAGCCGCGGUAAUACGGAGGAUCCGAGCGUUCUCCGGAUUUAUUGGGUUUAAAGGGAGCGUAGGUGGACAGUUAAGUCAGUUGUGAAAGUUUGCGGCUCAACCGUAAAAUUGCAGUUGAUACUGGCUGUCUUGAGUACAGUAGAGGUGGGCGGAAUUCGUGGUGUAGCGGUGAAAUGCUUAGAUAUCACGAAGAACUCCGAUUGCGAAGGCAGCUCACUGGACUGCAACUGACACUGAUGCUCGAAAGUGUGGGUAUCAAACAGGAUUAGAUACCCUGGUAGUCCACACAGUAAACGAUGAAUACUCGCUGUUUGCGAUAUGCAGUAAGCGGCCAAGCGAAAGCAUUAAGUAUUCCACCUGGGGAGUACGCCGGCAACGGUGAAACUCAAAGGAAUUGACGGGGGCCCGCACAAGCGGAGGAACAUGUGGUUUAAUUCGAUGAUACGCGAGGAACCUUACCCGGGCUUAAAUUGCAUUUGAAUAUAUUGGAAACGGUAUAGCCGUAAGGCAAAUGUGAAGGUGCUGCAUGGUUGUCGUCAGCUCGUGCCGUGAGGUGUCGGCUUAAGUGUCAUAACGAGCGCAACCCUUAUCUUUAGUUACUAACAGGUCAUGCUGAGGACUCUAGAGAGACUGCCGUCGUAAGAUGUGAGGAAGGUGGGGAUGACGUCAAAUCAGCACGGCCCUUACGUCCGGGGCUACACACGUGUUACAAUGGGGGGUACAGAAGGCAGCUACCUGGUGACAGGAUGCUAAUCCCAAAAGCCUCUCUCAGUUCGGAUCGAAGUCUGCAACCCGACUUCGUGAAGCUGGAUUCGCUAGUAAUCGCGCAUCAGCCAUGGCGCGGUGAAUACGUUCCCGGGCCUUGUACACACUGCCCGUCAAGCCAUGAAAGCCGGGGGUACCUGAAGUACGUAACCGCAAGGAGCGUCCUAGGGUAAAACUGA